rnacentral:tRNA from 1 species
GGGCCUGUCUUCUAGCGGAAGGAUGCUGUCCUCGCACGGCGGCGACACGGGUUCGAAUCCCGUCUGGUCCACCA